rnacentral:rRNA from 1 species
AGCGUUAUCCGGAUUCACUGGGGUUAAAGGGUGCGUAGGCGGGCAGGUAAGUCAGUGGUGAAAUCUCCGGGCUUAACCCGGAAACUGCCGUUGAUACUAUCUGUCUUGAAUAUCGUGGAGGUAAGCGGAAUAUGUCAUGUAGCGGUGAAAUGCUUAGAUAUGACAUACAACACCCAUUGCGAAGGCAGCUUACUACACGAUCAUUGACGCUGAGGCACGAAAGCGUGGGGAGCAAACAGG